CGUGUGUCCAAGCAAUGCUAAUGCCGGUGUCCCCUCUCAGAAUAUCGCCUUGGCUCGGCGGCGCGUUUUGCGGAACGCAACGGUUCAGCAAUUGAAACAUGCAGGAUGGAAUCGAGACAGAAACAUGUGUAUCACACCAUCAUAGCGAGCAACCUACUUUCCCCUCUGCUGGAGGUGUAGAUGAAUCAAACACCACACAGAGGAAAUGGCUUCCUGGAUUCCCCCAAGCAGCUGAUUGGUCAGCCGCAUUGCAGAUUGGAGCUCUGAUCCCGCCCUCUCGUUAGGGGAUACAGCUGUCGGCAAUUACAAACUCCUUCUGAAGCUGGAUAAAAGCCAGUGUUCCUUUGUUAGGAGAGAAAGCGUCUAGGAUGUCCUGUGUUGGUUGUUGAGCAGAGGCAGUUUUGUUGGAAGUAUUUUGUAGCUGCUACUUCUGAGGUAUAUGUGUGACAAUAGGACUUAGUGUUUGUGAUUAUUGAAAUAGUUAACUUUAAGUUUGUAUUAUUCUGUUUAAUUUGUUCCCAGGGGGGAAGUGGGAGGCGUGCGGGAAUACAUAUACCCGUAGUAUGUACUCUGUCUAUGCACAGUAGGUAAGACCUGGGCGGACCACCCCCUGUAUUUAGGUUAGCACGCCAGGUGGCUUUAAGGUUAUGUAAUGGGUGGGUAGGCAGGUAGGUAGGAGAGGGGACUCUUAACUUUUUACUUUUUUUGGUUUGGUUCUGUCCAGCCACUU